rnacentral:rRNA from 1 species
UUGAGAGUUUGAUCCUGGCUCAGAACGAACGCUGGCGGCAUGCCUAACACAUGCAAGUCGAGCGCUACCUUCGGGUGGAGCGGCGGACGGGUUAGUAACGCGUGGGAACGUACCCAGAUCUAAGGAAUAGCCACUGGAAACGGUGAGUAAUACCUUAUACGCCCUUCGGGGGAAAGAUUUAUCGGAUUUGGAUCGGCCCGCGUUAGAUUAGAUAGUUGGUGGGGUAAUGGCCUACCAAGUCUACGAUCUAUAGCUGGUUUUAGAGGAUGAUCAGCAACAUUGGGACUGAGACACGGCCCAGACUCCUACGGGAGGCAGCAGUGGGGAAUAUUGGACAAUGGGGGCAACCCUGAUCCAGCAAUGCCGCGUGUGUGAUGAAGGCCUUAGGGUUGUAAAGCACUUUCACUGGUGAAGAUGAUGACGGUAACCAGAGAAGAAGCCCCGGCUAACUUCGUGCCAGCAGCCGCGGUAAUACGAAGGGGGCGAGCGUUGUUCGGAAUUACUGGGCGUAAAGGGCGCG